GCACAGGGGGCGUGGUUAUCAGAGGGGAAGGGGCGGAGCUCUCUCUCAGUUCUCUGUAAUGAAGGUGAAAGUGAAAAUAGUUUUCGACUCAGAAACAGAGAAACUGCACCGUUACACUUCCUGCUGUAACGGACUGAUAAAGGAGGAAUAUAUGUGUGUGUAGACAGGAGACAUUUUAAACACGGGGUUUAAACCUUAAUGAGAUAAAUACCGAAUAUGAGCCGCUCUGAAAUGUGGAAACGCUUCAGCUAAAGCAGCAGAUGUGUUUAUAUGAGGAACAGAGAAGGAUUUUAUUAGUUUGAAUCUACAGAAAGAGAUAAAGAUGGCGACUGCAAGCAAUGAGUUUAAACUCAUUGGUCCCAGUGGUACAGAGGAGUAUAAUCACUCUGCUGUCACUCUCUCAUGUCGUCUGUCUCCUGAAAUCAGUGCUGUUAACAUGGAGAUCCGGUGGUUUAAGGAGACAGACUGUGUUUGUGUUUAUAAGAACAGAGAGGUGACAGAGGGGAGAGGUUACAGGGGCAGAGUGAGUCUGGACACUCAGGAGCUGGAGAGAGGAAACGUCUCCUUACAGCUGAGAGACUGUAGAAGGUCAGAUGAUGGAUAUUACCUGUGUCAGGUCACUGAUGGAGACAGAACAGAGGAGAUUACAGUACAGAUGAGAGGUAAGUGUUCCUGAUCUCCACACUGCAUAAACUCCACAUCAUCAUCUGUGCUUCUCAUCUCAGUACAUGAAACACACACUCAGUAUUCAGUGUGAGGUUCAGUAUACAGGCUGCUAAUGUGGAGUGAAGUUUAUUUGAGUUGAAUAAACAGUAACUCUGGUUUUCACUCUGAUACACACCUGCACAAGAGCUUAAAAGCAGCAGCUUGUACAAAUAUGAAGUAAAUAGGGAUUAAUUUAUUUAACUUUAUUGGCUCAA